rnacentral:rRNA from 1 species
UACGUAGGGGGCAAGCGUUGUCCGGAUUCAUUGGGCGUAAAGAGCGUGUAGGCGGCCAGGUAGGUCGGUUGUGAAAACUGGAGGCUCAACCUUCAGAGGUCGACCGAAACCAUCUGGCUAGAGUCCGGAAGAGGCGAGUGGAAUUCCUGGUGUAGCGGUGGAAUGCGCAGAUAUCAGGAGGAACACCAAUAGCGAAGGCAGCUCGCUGGGACGGUACUGACGCUGAGGCGCGAAAGCGUGGGGAGCGAACAGG